UCUGUAGGCGGUGUGGUAAGUCAGAUGUGAAAUCCCGGAGCUCAACUCCGGAACUGCAUCCGAUACUGCCAUACUAGAGUAUUGGAGGGGAGUCUGGAAUUCUCGGUGUAGCAGUGAAAUGCGUAGAUAUCGAGAGGAACACUAGUGGCGAAGGCGAGACUCUGGACAAUAACUGACGCUGAGAGACGAAGGCCAGGGUAGACGAAAA
rnacentral:rRNA from 1 species